rnacentral:tRNA from 1 species
GCCUUGUUAGCUCGAUAGGUUGAGCGUCUGCCUUGUAAGCGCUAGGCCGUGGGUUCGAUUCCCGCCCGGGGUG